rnacentral:lncRNA from 1 species
GGAAACCUAAAGGAAACCUAAAUCUGGAUAGUACUAUGAUAAAUAUUGUAAGAUUUAUGCACUCAUCCCACUGAUAUUUAUCAAGUGUUUAGCUCAUACGUGCAAGGUACUAUCUAAAGCCGAGUGCGGCAGGCCUCUGUACACAGAGCAGGAUUCAUGCUCUGUAAAAACUCACAGCAUGAAAGAUAAGCUCAGAUAUUUAUGAUACAAGGCAAUAUAUUUAAAGUGUCAGUUCAGUGCCAUACUCAGUAUAAAAAAGAGAGGAGUCACCCACGGAAUGUGUUGAGAAAAGGCAUGUAGAGGAUACACCAUUUUUACCAGGCCAGGAACUAUAGCAAACUUAGGACUUCUGUAUCUCGAUUUUUUUUUCUUUUAUUGAUACAUAAUAUUUUACAUCUUUAUGAGAUGCAUGAGUGUUUGUUACACGCACAGAAUGAGAGAUGAUCAAGUCAGGGUAUUUGGGGUAUCUGUCACCUCGAGUAUUUACCAUUUGUAUCUGUGGGUAUCACUUCAUGUCUUCUCUUCCAUUACUUUGAAAUAUACAAAAUAUUGUUGCUAAGUACAAUCACUGUAAACAAAAUAAAUGGCCUGGCACAUAGUAGGUGCUCUAGAACUGCUAAAACCCUUCUGUGGGAACUUUUUUUUUUUUUUUUCCAUUCUCCAGGGCAGUGAUUCUCAAGCUAGAUACACAACAGAAUCAUCUGGAGGACUUGUUAAAACAGAAUGCUAAGCCCCAUCCCCAGUCUCCAAUUCUGUGGAUCUGGGGCAGAGUCCAGUAAUUUGCAUGUGUGAUGCCGCUGCUGCUGCUGUUCUUGGAAGCACACCUUGAGAACCACUGCCUGGGGAACAGCUUAGCUGCUAUGAGAAUCUGAUUCUGUGUUCAUAUUCCGUAUCACAGAUAGCUCUUGGCUUUUCAAUUGUGGUUUCUUUUUUUAAUGUCUUACUAAGGGGGAAAAAAAGGAACGCCACUUUAUAUAAACCUGACCUUUUGGUAAGCCUGGGUAGUAACUUCCCAUGUGGAGUAAAUUAAUCUCUUUCAUGCAUGCCUCGUGCUCUGGAAAAAGUAAAACAGAUUGUGUUAGACAUUUACCAAGUACUUUUUCUGUUGGUGGUCACUGCCCUAAGCCUAUCAGAACUGGUUUCUACCCUUAAGAAGCUUACAAUGUAGUAAGGCGGACAUCCCAACAAACCAGACAUUGGAGUUCAUUGUGUGAGGUGCUAUGAUGGAUUAUAAGACAUUAUGAUUGACUGAGUAUUAUGAAGGGGUGAAGCAAACUCAAGCUGGCAAAUUAGGGAGGAGGUAGAUCACACAGGCUUUCCUAAUGGGAUUACUUAUGACUCAUUGAGUAGUGAAAGAUGAAUAGGACUUUACUAAACAGAAACUGGAAGGGCUUUCUGGGCUAAGGGAACAGCACAGAAGCAUCAAAUACACUUUACCUUUCUAGGGCUGCCAGUAGUUUAAUUCAGCAAUACCACAUCACAAAGGUCUUUGUGUGCUUUGCUAAUGAGUUUGAACUUUAUCAUAAAAGCAUUUUACAAAGAUCACACUGGCAGCUGCAUUUUGGAAGGGAUUUGCCUAGAGGUAGGAUAACUGCGGGGGGUAUGUCUAUAGCAAUAAAAGUGAGAAAAUAUGAGAUCUGAAGGAGCUAACAUUGUGGCAGUGGCAGUGGGUAUAAAGGAGAAGGGAGGACUAGAAGAGAUAUUUAAGAUGCAAACAAUGUAGGAACUGGGUGAUUAUAGAACUGAAAAGUGAGUGAGAGGGAGGAAUCCAUGAGAACUCACAUAUUUCUGGUUAGGAUAAAAGACUGAUUGACUGACAUGAAGACUACAAGAGAAAAAAACAGACUUGGAGUUGAAACUUCAGUUUAGGACACUGAAACUGAAUGAUGUGUCAUUCAAGUGGAAAGGCCAUUAGGCAGUUAGAUAUGUAGGCUUAGAGCACAGGAGAAAGGUCUUAAAACCCUGGGCUUAUGGGACGUUACCACGGAGACUGCACAGAGUGAGAAGAUCCAUUUUAAAGCUGAUGAUGAAUAAUAUUUUCGUUAUAAGGAGAGAAGCAAUGUUAGGGGUGUCUUCCCAUUGCUGGAGUGGGUCAUUUGCAGUAUGCAGUGCAUAAACUCACAGGCUGUCCUUAUGAUGACCUUUUGUUCAUUCUUACAUUCAGUAUACAGAUGAACAAAGGAAGUAUUUUAUGUCUUGUAAAUUACAAGGGACUAUGCAGUAUGUAAGGGAAGAUACAGGAGAGUAAGGGAAGGAGAAAGAGGGUGACUAACAAGCUUCUCAGAGAUUAGCCAAGAACUAUGGCAUUGAAUCUAGGUCUCUCCUGUCCUCAAUUUGACACUCUCCACUCCCCUGACAUGUUUUGUAUUAAAAUAUAUUUUUCUUUUUAUGAACAUGUCAUACCUAUGGCUCACCUGUGUCCUUGCUAACCUACAGGUUUGGACAAUCUGGAAUUGGCAGCAUGCAUGACUGUGGAGCUUUAAAGCCACCCUCCUGAGAGAAGAGCAGCUGACUCAUGUACCUCACCAUGCAGAUGAGGGUGUGUUAUAACCCACAGUGUGUCUGUGUCCCUGGAUGAACUGAGCACUUUAUAAUGGAGUUUUUCUGCAUCUCAAAAAGAAGUCACAGAUUAAAUGGUAACUGCAAGAGCUCAUUUCUCUAUUUGAGUGAGUGCUUUAUCAAAAAAAUAUUUUAUUCCUGCUGCUUUACCACAGGGUCAAUUCAAGUCUAAAUGAAUCUGGCAUGUAUAAAAUAUAUUUUUAUAUAGCUCCAUAUAGAGAUAUAGCUCUACACAGCCAUUAACAGACUCACACACAAUCAUUCUUUUAUUCCAGGUGUGAACUGCUAUGCUAUUUCACCCAGUUCAAACACAGGUCAUUGGCUUUCAAACUAAUUUUGGAAAGCAGACACUGUGUAGUUGGUAGGUGGAAUAAAAUGAAAACAAAAAAUUAAUAUGCAUGGCAGUUUAACUAGCUGUGUAUCUCUCAUGGAAAGGGGGUAAUAGUCUAAAAUUAUUUACUCAUUUUUUUUUAAAGUCUUUAAAAGAAGGCAAUGAAUUGCCAGUAAUUUCCCCACCUUAACUCAUGGUAAUUUGUUUCCUGCUGGGUGAAAACGCAGGGAUCUUGAAACUGUUAAUGAACUUUCUUUCUCCUGAUCUGUACAAUGUCAAAUUCAUUUCUUUUUUUCUUACUUCAGGUUUUACUAUUCUGUUUUGUUUGUUCCAUUUUUGUAUUUUUUCCUGAGGUCAGGGAUGAUUCUAUGGAAGCAUGAAAAUUUGUAGUUGAAAGGGAUCUUAGAACUUCAGCAAGAUUUGUGAUAGAUGGUCAAGUGGGUCUGGGCUCGCACCCUCCCUAAGGUGAAAGACUCACUGCCUUACCCCACAGCUAUUUCACUACUUACAGACUACCACACAAUAGCCAGGGUGCUGCCCUAUUUGCAACAUGAACUGGAACAUUAUAUUGGGACAUAAUGAUGAGUGGUAGCUAAAAGUCCUUUCCCUCUGGUGUUGUUAUUUGGUUAAAUUGAUUUACAUAAUGUUAUUCUGUGGUAUAAACCUUUCUCAUUUAUCUCAUAUAUAUCCCAUUUUAAGCUAUAAGCUCCCAGAGGGGUAGGUACUUCAUCAUUACUUCUGUACUCAAGUAUUUUGCAUAUCUUUGAUACAAAGUAAGAACAAUGUAUAUGUAUAUCAGUUUAACUCUCAGAUGAAUGAACUAAUAAAACUUGUAACAGUAUUUUCCAAUGUAGUGAGUACAUUAAGCAUCAUUAAUAUUAAAAUGCAAAUUAAUGCAUUAUUUGCAAGUUUUCAAAUCAUGUGUACUUAAGAAUUUUCUUUUAAAAUGUAUCAAAAGACUGAACAUUCAAGCUGAUUAUCAUAAAAAGUGUAUGUAUGGGGGUAAUAUUCAAAAUAUUUAACAACCCAGAAGAACAUGGGAGCUGUAAUUCCCACAAAUCACCAUGUGAAGGUGAUUCCAGGGAAGAGUCAGUCAACAGAGAAUAGCCACUGAUGGAAGGGAAGUGGGGUCUGGUGGCAGGUGAUGGAUAGAUCACUAAACAUUUGUCCAAGAGAGUGCUAGUGUUGCCGCUAGGGGUGAAUAUUUCUGUUGGGGUCCAGGUCUGCUCUGGCUGGGGAGGUGUGGGGAAGCAAGCAGGAAUGGGGCUGCAAAAGGCUGGCUAGGGUAGCCCACAGUGGUAUCUGCCCAGGAAUCCCUGGGGUCUGGGCAGGGUAGUGGGAGGCACUGGUUGAGGGAAAAGGAAUAAUAGUUUUUUUCCCUGUUUGUCAGCUGAGUUAGCAGCCCUGGUUUUGAGAAAUAUUAAAAUAUGCCUUUGAUUUUUGGGGAUAUCAAUGAGUUUUGCAAUGAAGUAGAGGGGAUCACCAGUUUAAGACUUACUGAUCAGUAUGGGCAACAUGGCAAAAUCCCACCUCUACAAAAAAAUUAAAAAUUUGCUGGAUGUGGCAGCAUGCACCUGUAAUCCCAGCUACUCAGGAGGCAGAAGUGGGAGGAUCACUGGAGCCAGGGAGGUCAAAGCUACAGUGGGCUCUGAUUGUGCCACUGUACUCCAGCGUGGGUGGCAGAGCAAGACCUGUCUCAAAACAAAACAAAAAACAACAAAAACAAAAAAGACCUGAUCUACUGAGCAAACAAACUACCAUCACAAAUAAAUCAGAACUUGAAAAAUAAUGACUGUAGGCCAGGCGCGGUGGCUCAUGCCUGUAAUCCCAGCACUUUGGGAGGCCGAGGCAGGCGGAUCACGAGGUCAGGAGAUUGAGACUAUCCUGGCUAACAUGGUGAAACCCCAUCUCUACUAAAAAUACAAAAAAUUAGCUGGGCGUGGUGGCGGGCCCCUGUAGUCCAAGCUACUCGGGAGGCUGAGGCAGGAGAAUGGCGUGAACCCGGGAGACGGAGCUUUUAGUGAGCGGAGAUCAAGUCACUGCACUCCAACCUGGGCGACAGAGCAAGACUCCAUCUCAAAAAAAAAAUAAUAAUAAUAAUAAUAAUAAUGACUGCAUGUAUGUACUUGGCAUGAUCAUUAUGAAGGCAUUCUUCACUGUACAAGAAGAGUCACAAUGAAAUUCUUUUAGCUCAAGCAAUUUGAGUGGAUUUAAAUUAUUUUUCAGUAAGGAACUUGGUUUCAGAUACAACUUUUCAAGAAUAUAGCUACUGAGUAGAACAAAGUAUGCUGAUGUCCACUCUCCAGGUCUUCAAAAUCAAAGCAGAAUUGAAAUCUGCGGCAAUUUUUCUAAUUUUUUAGUUUUAUCUUGAAGCUGUUUGUUUAAAUUAUCUCUCCAUCUUACUGUUAGAUUAGAAGACAUACUUUUUGCCAGAAAUACUCACUUCAAUUGCACAGGAAAAAGUGAGGUUUCUUGAUUCAAAUUAGAUAGAAAAUUCUGUUUUGACAAUAUAGCCAAGGUCAGAUAUGAUUUCCCUACAAUCUCUAAUCAUGUUGAAUUUUAUAAUACAAGUUUAAAUGACCUCAAAAAAUUUGUACUACAUUUCAGAGGCAACUGUAACUUCCUUCAUGAACAUUAGCAAAUAAUCUUCAAAAAUUGGAAUGUGACCUCAGUCAUCCUCCUCCUUCUCCCUUCCCCUUUUCACUUCAACCUUAAUGUACACACUUGCAAAUUUUCUUCCACUUAUAUUUUCCUUUAAAGGCCACUUUCUAGCAGACAAUUCAACUAACUGCUGUAUUUUUCCAUAUAUGAUGCCAGGGAAUAGAAACAAGUGAGAUAGUUUCUUAUAUGAUAUAAUUGUUUCCAUUAAAAACUCAGGAAAGCAGGAACCAAUCCAUCAACAAGGGCGAAUGAAAGAUCGUGUAAUCCACAAACUUUAACUUUUGAUCACUUAUAAAAUUUAAAACUAAACAAGCCAUAAACUAAAGUGAUGUUAACUGUCAAGGUGUGGGGGUUUUUCUUUUUCAUUCACUGCAGACCUGUUAAACUUUGUGCUCUCUACAGACCUUGCUGUCCACACCAAAAAUGCAAUUACAGUUCUCCUUGUCUAUUUUAAUCUCACAUUAGUUUAUUAACCAGAAAUUAAGUAAGGGCACUCACUCUUUAGCACAUUUUUUUGUAGAUGUGUGAGUUUAAUACUGUUUUCUACAACGUUUAUUAGAACACUUGACAUGGGAAAUAGAAGAAUAUCAAGAAACCAUGAGAUGCCAUUAUACCAACAAAAACAAAAUGCAGGCUUUGUGUGCUACAAUCUUUUUCUCCAAAAGUGAAAAUAAACACUAAUGAAUGAUUCCUUUUGCCUUGAAGAACUAAAAAUUUCUUAGUUGAAGUAUCUAACUGGAGAAAUCUUUAAACAUGUGAGAAAUGUAUCUGGGGCCUACAAUUUAAAGAGAAGAGGAACACAUUAAGUCAUGAACCCACUAGACCAACCAACAUUUGUCCUCUACGUUCUGAAGUCCAGCUGGAUUCACAAGGGUCGCUGAUCAUUCCUCAUUGAGCUAUUAUAUGCUAGUGAUUCACUCCUGCUUUCUUUUACAUUUUCGACCUCUUCCUCUCUACUUGCUGAUUUACCUCUGCUUUAUAAAAGUGGUUAUUUUAACCUAGAAAACAAAAAUUUGAGAUUUUUUGGUCUCUAACUUUCUUCUAAUGGACGACUUUCUUCUAUAUACCAUAUAUAAGUUAUUUCCACUUCCUCAUCUCCUACUUAAUCCACAAUUGUCUUCCUUUUUCAAAACUUUACUGAAAGUACUUAUCAUUUUGCCCUCUAGAUAAUCAACUAUAUCCUUCUAUCAAACUUUUCUUUCAGUUCUCAUCCUCUUACAUCUUUCUGCUGCAUUUGAGACUAUAUAAUAUCACUUCCAUUCUUAAAACUCCUUUCUCCCUUGCCAACUGGCUGAAGGAAAGUCGUUUCUCCACUCAUACACUCAAAAUGUAGCCAUUUCUUGAUGUGUACCACUUUCAAUUUGUCUGUUUAGCAAGAUCUUCCACUCCCACAAAUUUCUUCCUCAAAGACAUAUGUGUAAUUUCAAAAUCACUGUUCCUGAAUAUGAAUCCUCUCCAGAGGUGCAGGUCCAUAUUUUCAACCACCCAAUAAACACUUCCAUUUGGAUAUUUUAUCUCCUAAUAUCUCUAACAACAUAGUCCGUAUCAAACUUAUCACCAUCUUCAGCCUGUUUUUCUUCUGUUGCUUUUGCUUCUUUUAAUGGUUUCAUCUUUCCAAGUUAACAAUAGUUUCUUCUCAUUGGUUCUCAACACUGAAUUGAUAAGCUCUUUUCCACAGGUGAGAUUUGGAAACCUAACAGUGAAUCUGCAAUUCUUCUUUAUGAUUGCAAUACUGGGUUUUGAGGUGUCAACAUCAGUCUGAUGGUGCUAAAGUAACUGUGACACCAUUUGGUUUGGCUUACAAAUAGUUUCUGAGCUCCUACUGUGUAAGACCAGAACUCUGCUAGCAAAACACCAUUAGUUUUUCAGGAAUAUUAGCAACCGCAGUUUAGAAUUGAUGAAAGAAAAAUAUGAAUUUGGAUCAAUGUCUUAUCUUUCUUACAAAAUCUCCAUAAAUAUUCCUCUCCCAUGAAGAAUCAGUCUCUUCAGUUACUCUAACUCAUCACUCUAUAAUAAUAUUUACUCAGAACCUGUAAUGUGCUGAACAUUCUAAUCACUUUAGAAAUGUUUUAUAUGGUAAUCCUCUUCACUAUCCUAUGAAGUACUCAUCAUUGAUUGUUGAAUUGUGCCGUAUAUGGCUGGAUGGAGUUGUGCAGUGCAUAGUCUAUGCAACCAUAUCUCUUGCCCCAAUAAGACCCAUUUCACAGUUGAAGAUACUGAGCCACAGAGAAAGGUUAAGGAACUUGUCCAAAGUCACACAGCUACUAAGUCAGGAUUGAGUGAGUAUUCAAACCAUGAAAACCAACAUUUUGACAUGACUCUCUUCUCUUAACAGAUAUAUGAAACCACGUCUACUCAUAUUUCUACUGUAGCACCUAUUGUAAAUAUUUGCCUUUGUGCUUGUUCCCUUACUUAGAAUAUGAAUCCCACGAACUGGCUAGCCAUGUGCAGAAAAUUGAAACUGGACCCCUUCCUUCAAACUUACACAAAAAGUAAGAUGGAUUAAAGACUUAAAUGUAAAAUCCCAAACUUUAAACACCUUAGAAGAAAAUCUAGGCAAUACCAUUCAGGAUAUAGGUGCAGGCAAAGAUUUCAUAGGAAAACACCGGAAGCAAUUGCAAAAAAAGCAAAAAUUGACAAAUGGGAUCUAAUUAAACUAAAGAGCUUCCGUGCAGCAAAAGAAACUAUCAUCAGAGUGAAUAGACAACCUACAGAAUGGAAGACAAUUUUUGCAAUCUAUCCAUCUGACAAAGGUCUAAUAUCCAGAGUCUACAAGGAACUUAAAUUUGCAAGAAAAAAACCCCAAACAACCCCAUUAAAAAGUAGGCAAACAACACGAACAGACACUCCUCAGAUGAAGACAUUCAGGGGGCCAAAACACAUAUGAAAAAAAGCUCAACAUCACUGAUCAUUAGAGAAAUGCAAAUCAGAACCACAAUGAGAUACCAUCUCAUGCCAGUCAGAAUGGCUAUUAUUAAAAAGUCAAGAAACAACAGAUGCUGGUGAGGUUGCAAAGAAAAAGGAAUGCUUCUAUGCUGUUGGUGAGAAUGUAAAUUAGUUCAACCAUUGUGGAAGAGAGUGUGGCAAUUCUUCAAAGUUCUAGAAGCUGAAAUACCAUUUGACCCAGCAAUCCCGUUACUGGGUAUAUACCCAAAGGAAUAUAGAUCAUUCUAUUAUAAAGAUACAUGCAUGCGUAUGUUCAUUGCAGCACUAUUCACAAUAGCAAAGACAUGGAAUUAACCCAAAUGCCCAUCAAUGGUAGACUGGAUAAAGAAAAUGUGGUACAUAUUCACCAUGGAAUACUAUACAGCCAUAAAAAGGAAUAAGAUCAUUUCCUUUGCCGGGACAUGGAUGGAGCUGGAAGCUGUUAUCCUCAGCAAACUAACGCAGGAACAGAAAACCAAGCACUGCAUUUUCUCACUUAUAAGUGGGAGCUGAAUGACGAGAACACAUGAACACAUUGCGGGGAACAACACAGAGUCAGUCCUGUCGGAGGGAGCAGGGGGAGGGAGAGCAUCAGGAAGAAUAACUAAUGGAUGCCAGGUUUAAUACCUAGGUGGUGGGUUGAUCUGUGCAGCAAACCACCAUGGCACAUGUUUACCUAUGUAACAAACUUGCACAUUCUGCACAUGUACCCCUGAACUCAAACAUUGAAGAAAAAGAAAGGAAUAAGAAUCCCACUAGGGGAAAAAGAGAUUUAAGUUCUUAAACUGUUAGUAUUAGUAUAUAAGAAGGGCCUAGAAUCUUGCAUAUAGUGGGUUUUCAAUAAAUUCUAGCUAUUAUCAUUCUUUUUAUCUUUUUUUUUUUUUUUUACAGAUUUGUCACAAAGUAAGGUGCUAAUUAAUGUUUGUUGAAUAAAUUACUAUGCCAAUUCCCCAAUGUGUACAAAAUGAAUAUACAUAUGACCUAGUCUCAGGAAAAAUGUAUAUGUGGAGAGGAUGAAAGAUAAUUUUUUUCCAUAUAAGCUUCCUCAUCUAACCUGUUUCAUAUCCAGUUUCUGGGACAGAAAUUGAUUAAACUAUUCUAACGUGGAACUAAGCAAUUUAAACUUAUAUUUACAUGGUCACCAUAUCAGCCGGUGAUCUCAAUAUGGCCCUCAAAUUUUGCUGUCAUGGAUAGUUGUAUAUUCCAGUGCCAGAAAAAAGUAACAAUAUAUUCACGAGAGAGCAGCCUGAUGCGCUGCUCUAGAGAUGAAAAUAAAUUGAUAUAAAUGGAGAUACUGAGCAAAAAAAUCAGCAGCUAGCACUUAUCAGAUGGGAAGUGAAAAGAUGUUAACUGAGCUUACAAGAAUGAAGAAUAUUGUCAUCAGAUAGUUGUAUAAAGAGGACCCCACAAAACCUGUUAUUAUAAGAGCAUUACAUCAUGGGAGAAAGUGAAAAGCAAUAGCUCUCUUAAAUGUAUUUGAUUAAUAACGUCUGCUAAACUUCUCCUUAACAAAUGACCACAGUCAGAAAUAUAUAUGUCCCAAAGAGAAGCUGAUGGUAACUAAGAGGCCCUUUGGGGGAAAUUCAUCUGACAAAACCCCUCUGGAGGAUGUACAGGGGAUUAUGUGAAUGCCUAUGUCUACUUCUAUCCUUGCAUGGUAUAACUUUUUUAAAGUAAAGCAAAGCUCAAAGUUUGAUGCCUUACUAAUGGCCAGUGUCUUGCCAAUGGUCCUUUGAUUACAACUGGCAUUCUAAAGCAAAAAUAAACUAAGAAAAUUUAAUUUCAUAUAAAUGUAUUAUAGAGACAUCUACUUUUUUGUCUUGUCUUUAGUUUUAAAAAAAUUAAGAGUAGAAUUGGUAAAUACAAUAUUUAUUUGAGAAUCAUCAUGGUCCCGACAGACAAUCUAGCGUUAAGUAGAUUGUUCUACGGUAAUUGAACUACAAAACAAAAUCAUUAAAUACUCAGACACCUUAUUAAGUGAAAGAAUCAAGCAUCAACAUUAUCUUUCAAUGUUCUCAUUUUCAUAAUACUCUUCUGCUACAUUCUGUUGCUUGAUCCCAUGUUAAAAGAUUAAAUGGCUAAAAAGUUAAGAAAUCCCAACCCUUCAUUUUAAUACUAACUCAUAGUUCAUAAAAGGAAGGGCUUAUCAGCUGAAUCAUUAAAUACACGUUGCUUGCAAUUUUGUGCAGUGGAACGGAGACACUGAAUCCCAAAAGGGCCCUACAUAAACUCUGAGAGUAAGCGAAAUGGUAUCCUGAUACACUUUCACCAUGUCACUGAAAUAAUUAAGUUGGGUAUUAUAAAUCUGAAUGACAAAUCUUGGAAACCACCUGAAAAACCACAGGAAAUAUUCUAUCCUUGUUCAAUAUAUGGAAAUAGUUGAUGCAAAAAGAAACAGAAGUAGAAAAAAAUUAGAUCUCAGAGCAAAUGUACAAUAUUUUUUAACAUGAUCAGGGUAACUGUUACUUGAAGCUGGAUAUCUGCUGAUUUUGCAGAUUAUGUUAAUUGGCUACUAUCUAGAACAAGGUAUAAAACAGAUAAAUGGGAGGUCGAGGCGGGUGGAUCACCUGAGGUCAGGAGUUUGAGACCAGCCUGGCCAACAUGGUGAAACCCAGUCUCUUCUAAAAAUACAAAAAUUAGCUGGACAUGAUGACAGGCACCUGUAAUCUCAGCUACUCGGGAGGCCGAGGCAGGAGAAUUGCUGGAACCUGGGAGAUGGAGGUUGCAGUGAGCCAAGAUCGUGCCCUUGCACUCCAGCUCGGGUGACAACAGCGAGACUCUGUCUCAAAAAAAAAAAAAAAAAAACAACCAAAAACAGAUAAGCACAUUUUCCAAAUGACCUGUAGGAUGAAAAUCAAACUGCCAAGCAACAAAUGGUAAUACCAUUAUUAUUCACGUAAUAUUAAUUCUGACUCUUCAUUAGCCUCCAAUGUGAAUUUAAAUUAAGGUAUAAAGCUGGUAAAUAUGUGGCAUUCAAACACUUGUGUAUUAUACAUUUAAAUUAAUUUUAAUUAUUUUCAGAAGCACGGCGAAACUCAAAAGGUUUUUCUACUAUACAUUAAAUUAAGGUAAUUCUGGAAUGAUGAUACCUAAACACAGAAUCACAUCUUUAAAGUCAAAAAUAUAAUUUUUCUACUAAUAAGCCAAGCCAGCACAUGUUGAAUUUUUAAUAUGUAUGCUCUGAUAAUUAAUUUUGUAUUUUUCCAAUUACAUGGCUAUCGCAGUGUACUUAGAGACAGAAAACCGUCAUGGGGAAAGGGGAAAGGUGACCAUGGUAUGUGUAAAGCCUGUUUCAUUUUCUAAACAUCUUUGAGAACUAUGUUAAAUUUUAGUACUUUAGUCAUGAAAUGACAGAAUGAUAGAAAAAGACUUGGAGGGACAUCAAAGCAUUUAGUUCUACCUGAAACUUGGCUUUCUAAAAAUACGACUGGGAAAAAGACUAUUGUGUUUAGACCACAGAUUUUUAGUUAAAUCUUUGAACUCUAUGCAAAGUCUAAGUAAUACCACUUUUAUUUAACUCUUCAGUCUAUAUAGUCUUCAAGGAUAACUGUGCUUUUAUAUAAUUAUCCGGAUUACAAAUUUAACUACAAUAGGCAGACUCUUAUUGUCAAGGAACAGAUCCUUAUACUUAAACAUUGCUUAGAAUCUUCGUAGGCACUUCAUAAAUGUUUGCAGAAUCCCAUAUAACUCACGAAUGAAUGAGUGACCUGCAACUGCUGAUGGAUUUGAAAUAGAGUCCAGAUUUUUAAUGCAUCUAUAAAUGUAACUUUCCUAACUUGAUUCUGUGAGAAGUCUAGAGGCACCUAAUUUAAGAGAAGAAAAUGAUAUGUUUAUAAUCAUUAAACAUCUUGCUCUGGGUAUUUAUUUAAAUUAAUAAAAAUUCAUAAACCUAGCUAACCUGCGACAGUUUUAAGGGAAUAUGUGCAAUACAAAGUGUAGGUAGAAUAGAGUAGUAUGAUUACGUUUACUUUUAGAGUAUGUAUUUUAUUUGGCAUCAUGUAUUUAUUGGUGUGCCUAACAUUCUCAGUGAACUGGGUAUACACAUCAUACAUUCAAAGGGGCAGAAUGUUCUCUCUUAAAAAAAAAUCAUUUUAAAGUCUUUUGAUUACCAAAUGCCCACUUUUUAAUGUAAAACUACUCAAGAUGUUUUGAAGGGACUGGGAAUAAAUAUCAACUAAAUUAAUCAUUACAAUCAGGGAAAAUCAGUUAGAAAGGGCCUUAGAGAUCCUCUAAGCUCUCUCACUUUUCUCUCACUGCUUUUUAUAAGCAGUGUAUUUUUAUUACUUUGUUAGCCGUUGGCAGAGAAUGAACAUUGAGUAUCUUUGGACAAUUUCUUCUUAAUGGCUGGUGCCUAUUUUGUCCUAUAAAAUCAUGUGGAAAUGUUGGUACUUUUGGCAAUAUCUUACUCCUUGAGGGCACUUAAUGGUCUUCAUUCUCCCCAAAGCUUCUCUCACUCCCAGGUAAUAAGCUGAACUCUAACAGAGAUACAGUUACUCUUUCAAUCCAGUAGAGACCACUUGAUUUACCACUCUACUGCACAAAAUGGUACCCUGGUGGCUUGAAAGAGACAAUGGGGAGAAUGUGGCUCAUUAAAUAGUAAUUGAUGCUGCUGCUACUACUAAUGUUAGUAUUGCUGCUAAAAUAACUGUGUUGCUUCUAUUCUGCUUCUUCUAUGUGAUUGAGAAUUAGCAUAGUUCAUUCCCAUGGAAGGUCAAUUGACAGGCUAGCCCAGAAGCAUUGAGUAGCCAAACUGAUUGGUGAGACAAUCAAGAUUUCAAGAUCUCAUAUGAUCCACAUUGCCAGAACCACAUUCUACCUCCUUAAUCCACAAAUGCAUUAUAAAUCCUUACAAAUCCUAAUGAGAUACAGUUUCAUGUAAGUAAAUUUUAAGAUAUUUGAUAUUCCCCUUUGAAGUACCAAUUUUUCUUACUUUCGAAAAUUAGAAUGAAAACCUUCAUGAAAUGGUAUUAUUCACUGCCUACUUUCUUAAAGACUAUCUUCAUCAUGAUCCAACUCCUGUCUGUAUAACUCAGAAUUACCAUUCUUAACAAUAAUUAUGGCACUGUGUUGUAAAGUGGUGAGGCUCCCAAAGGUCACUCUGUAUAUAAUGCUAUGUGCCAUAGUCUUUGGCUGUUGGGUUUUUCUGUUUCAUUUUAUUUUGAUUUUAGAAUGUUUCUGACUCCUUCAUCUUAUCAGGCUUGUCACUUUUUGUAUGUAGCAGUGUACUUUCUAGAGGUGAAUCUGUCUAACUUCUAAAGGCAAAAAAACUUGAAAAAAAGUUGGUAAAUAAAGACUUGAAAAAUAGAAUUAAAGGAUUUUCUUAGAGCCAUGUGACAUCUGUGUUAGUUUUUCACAAGCCUUUUUUUUUUUUUUUUUUUUUUUUUUUGAGAUGUAGUUUCACUGUUGCUGCUCACUCUGGAGUGCAAUGGCGCAAUAUCGGUUCACUGUAACCUCCGCCUCCCAGGUUCAAGCAAUUCUCCUGCCUCAGCCUCCUGAGUAGCUGGGACUACAGGCACCCACCACCUCACCCGGCUAAUUUUUGUAUUUUUAGUAGAAACAGGGUUACACCACGUUGGCCAGGCUAGUCUCAAACCCCUGACCUCAGGUGAUUCACCCCACCUUGGCCUCUCAAAGUGCUGGGAUUACAGGCAUGAGCCACUGCGCCCGGCCUUCAUAAGCCUUUGUUUAUUCCUCCCUGCUUCUUAGUUAUAGUCUUAGUUAUAUUGUUGGAGUUUUAGGAAAAGUAACGUCCAGAUGAGGUAAAUCUUAGUUCAUGUGACAUAAUACUCUGCUUUUAGUGUAUUCUUCUCUUCUCAUUUUAGAGAUUCUAUUUUCUCUUGUAUUGGUAUUAUUUUACAGAAGCCUCUUCAGAUCCUUUUUGGAAGGAGAUAUAAUUUAUACUUGCCUUAUUUCUCUUUUGUGUAUUUGUGUGAUAUUGUAUAUGCACACAAAGGGGCACGUGUAAGUAUGUGUGUGCACGCACACACAUGCAUACAUCAUCUUUUUAUUCAUAGAAUACUCUGCCAACCAUGGUCUCCUUGGAAGGUAUAAGUAUGUCUGCGGUUGUAGAGAACAAUCACUUGCCUCCUGGAUGUAUAUCACCUUUGCCCAGGAGCCCCUGCAAUGUGAGUGGCUGGACUCUGGGGUGGCUGUCUGUCUGCUGCCAUAGAUCCAUGUUCCACAGGAAUAUCUUUAUGCAGCAUGUGAGUCUCCAUUUGAACAAUCAUAUAUUAGGAAUCAUGCUAUUCUUAGGAAUCUUUAGAAAUACCUGAGUACUAAAUUUGUCUCAUAACUUAGCAAAUGCAUAUAACAAAUGAUUUCCUGCACGUUAUUGUCAUACACCAUUUUACCUUGUAGCACAUAACUACUGCUGUCAUCCUUGGAUAGAACUCAGCUAAGUUAGUUCCUCCCUCUUCUAGUAAUCAUAUUUACUAUUGAAUACAGCAGCAUAUGAUGGAAGUGGUCCAAAGUAAAAAAUUGGCUUUAUCACAGAAUCAUAACAUUUUAGCAUUAUAUGAGGCCUUAAAAAUAACACUUUGGAUAGCAGGAAUAUGCAGACUCCAUAAAAAGAAGAGUUCUGUGAAGGGAAGGAAAUGAAUUUUUAUCUAUUGAAUGCUCACUAUGUAUUUGGCUGCUAGACUAAAUGCUAUAGAUACUUUUUCCUAAUUUAAUUGUAACACCAAUCCUAUGGAGUGUAUGCUAUUAUCCCAUUUUACAGAUGAUGAAACUGAGGCCAAGAAGUUAAUUCAUCUUGCCCAACCUUAAAAUUAUUAAAGUCAAGCAGUUAUGUAAACCUAGGUCUCCCUGGCCCUAAAGGCCAUACUCUUUCCAUUGUUCUUCUCUACCAUGUCUCUCCUAAGUAGAAAGUUCCUUUUUUAUCUGUUGUCCAAAACUCAUUUAGCUGGGUUAGUCAUUCACAGCAAUACUGUAAGACUAGCUUAUUCUUUACAGUAACAAUAGAAUCUUUUUCUAAUCCUUUAUUCCUUUCAGGGCAUUGCUAUAUGGCUAUCAUUAUGGUAGGCAUAUUCAUGAAUAAGUCUGUUCUUUUAACAGCACAGUGUGAGUUUAUGAGAGUAGGAUAUAAAAACAAGGAGAGAAAUAGGGAGCAAAGUCUAGCUGUCUCACAGAAGGCAGCCCUAGACCACAAAAGAGGCAUAUGUAGGUCAAUUCAAGUUAGAAAAAAAAAAAAGAUCUGAUGUAUGGGUUGAUCAUUGUUUAUGGAUUUUCUAUUUGACAUUUGAUGUCUUCAAAUAGUAUACUGUCUUUCAAAUGGAAAGUAAAAAAUGUAUCACAUAGACUAUGCUUGAAAAGGUUAUCCACAUCUUAGACAUGCAUACAUUUUUAAAACAACAGCUAUAAAGUCAUGGACAACCAUGUGUCUCUUCGAAAGAAUCACUAAUGAAAAUGGAUAUGAUAUUACCCCUGUAAUGUGCCAACUAUCUACAUUGUUACUAUUAAAGCAUCCUUAAUCAAAGUUUCUGCCAAGUUCACUGAGAAUGUUAGAGACAGUAAAGAUUUGGAGCAUUUUAAUCCACUUAUUCAAUAUAAGUGUGAGCCUGUGGCAGACUAAGAUAUGAAAAAAAAUUCACUGUAAUCAGAUCUUACAAAAUUAUGUUAUAUCUUUGAAAUCAUCCAGCAGAAUGAAUAAUUUUCCUCGGUCUUUCAUAUGCUAAAAGGGAGUAAGGGCAUAAGGUUGCAUUUUUGGUCAUCUGAAGCAUGUUAAAUCAUACAACUUUUUUGAUGCAUAUUAAGAUAACUAUAAAAAUACCAAAUACUUUACUAAAAAGAGAAAGUUUGAAGCACAGCAAACUAAAAGGAAAUAGCAACAGUAACAACAGCAAAAUAUCAAUCUUGAAGACUCCAGCAGUAGGGACCCUCAAAAAUGUCAGGCUGAAAAAAUGAGACACAGCCAAACAGCCCACGGAAACAGUAUGCAGAACAAUAAUCAUUUUGAUACUAUGCCAUUUUCAUGUGGUAGCCCAAUCUGAGGAAGUUAAAGUGAAACAGACUCACAGAGGCUGGAGAGAUUGGUCAACGUUUCACAUAAAGACUGAAAGACUGAAGAUUUUAUACAUGUAGCAGAGAGGCAGGGAAGAAAACUCUAGAAAGAGCCAGCGAAUUCUAAAUGGCCCAAACAUCCAGAGUCUAAUAGUCUAGUGAUUGGUUAAAUAAUUCUUAGCCCUUUAUUUAACCUUGGCUGUUCAGGCCAGAGCUGACUAUUCAAUUGCAGUUGGAAAAUAAAUGCUGAAUGCCCAAAGUACAGAAAUUAUUCUGGAGAGAGGCCAAUGAAUUUUAAGUAUUAUUUUCAGCAUUAGUUAGGUUUUAUUUUUAAACCGUUCUUCAAAAGACUGAUAUGUUCGUUCUUAAUUAUCUUUGCCCCAAAGCAGUUCUGUCCCCUAAAAAAUAAGUACAUCAUAAAGGAAACUUAGACAAAUGCCAAGCUUAAAUAUUUUCCUUUUGCAAACAAUGCUGGCUCCAGAAACACAUUACAAACAGCUGGGAUUGUGAAUUUUCUCUCCUUUAGAAACAAGAAUGUUCUCAUGUCAAAGGUAACCCAUUGUAAAAAAAAAAAAAAUUACUGAUUUUGUAAAAAAUGCACAUCAUCAAUUAGUUCUAAAGAUGUAGUCGCCCAUAAAACCAAGACCACAUGGUGACCUUGGGGUAGAAGAAAAAGAAACAGAUAACCAUUUUGUGAAAAUUUGCGCAUUUUCACCAGUUGUAGCUAAAUGAUUGACAUCUUGCUACAAGCAGCUUCUGUAUGAAUUGUUACAAGGACUGCAGGAAGUUCCAAAGGAAAGAGACAGCAGAGAUCACUAUUCUCAAGAGGCUCACUGUUAGUGGUAUAGUAAACAAAUAUUUCACAUGUAACGAAUUCUUACCCCUUAUAAUUCCCAUAUAAUUUUGAUAAGAACAGAAUCACCUUUGGAAUAAACAAAGAGGUAACAUUUAUUGAACACUUAUGCUAGGGACCAUGCUUAAUCCUCUACACUGUCCCAAUUUAUCAACACUAUAAAAUAAGCAUGAUUAUUAUUCUCAUUUUACAAAUGAGUAAAAUGAGGCUCAGGGAGGCUAAGAAAAUUGCCCUCUGUCACCAAGCUGCUAAGUGGCAGCAUGGGAUUGGGGGACCCAGGCUGUCUGAUUCCAAGGUUCCAUGCAUGUAGCCAUCAAGAAAAUUUACUAGGAAGUAAGGUAUUUGAAUACAAAUUAAUUUUGUUCUCUUUGGCCAGUAACAUUGACUUUGGUAAAAUGACCACAGCAUCAACAUAAAGGCAUAUUUAGGAAUUUCUCCCAGGUAUAGAAGCACAUUUUCAAAUGAUCUUGCCUCUGCUAAACUUUAGUCAGACAACAUCAACACUGAGGUAACACCAGGUGAAUGAAAGUCUCAUUUAGUUUGAAAUUAACUCUGAAAUAUGCACAUUUAAUUUCUAUUACUAAUUCACUUUUGCAAUGGUCAGAGUUUUUCUGGAAACACUGGUAUCUUAAGGGAGCUUUGAAGAGUAAUUAAAAAAAACCACAGGCAAAUAAACUUUCAAUAAAAACAGACAGUCAGGAUUAAAAUGCUUUUCUAUAUUUAGAAACAUAGGAAUGAACUAGCAUUUUUCAAAUUAAUUUGUAAGCCCAGAUUCACACCAAGUGCAUUUAAAACCACUUCUUACACGCCUAAAUGAGAUGAACUAUAAACAGAAGUUGACGCACGCUAAGGUACUCUGCUGAAGGCCUAAGAGUUCUCUUCAAAUGUAAGCUAUGAGGACGAAAUGCCUAUCAUCUGGAAUGUUUCAUCCCAAGACCCUCAGAAGGCUAUGUUAUUACUUACCCUGGAGGCACAAUAGUAAUUUAAAUAUGUAGCCAUGUUAUUUGAUAAAAUCCCAACUGAGUAUUAAACUACAUUGUGGUUCAAUCAAAUUACUACUGCUCUGCUGCUGUAACACACACACACACACACACACACACACACUUGCAUGAACAUAAAUGUAUAUGAACAUACAUGUACCAUAGUAGUACCUGAUGGUAGUGUUAAAAAUAAACAAUAAAGAAGUAGCUUCCAUAUUCAUAUUAAAGUAAAUUCAUAAUCAUUCAUCCACAACCUUCUUUUUAUAGGCUUCAUACACCCUAAAACUGUGGAUGUAAAACUUUCUUCCUGUAACCCACAACAAGAAAUCCAUUUCACAUCAGAACAGUAAACACACACACACACACACACACACACACACACACACACACACGAAACUAAUGUUUCAGCAAAUAAAACUCCUACUGUAUGCAGUACAUUUUCUUUCUCAUUCUAUUUCAUUUUUUAAAGUACAUUUUCUUUUCUUUUUAAAUUUUUUAGAGAUGAGGCCUUGCUACAUUUCCCAGGCUGGCCUUGAACUCCUGGGCUCAAGCAAUCCACCUGCUUCAGCCUCCAAGUAGCAGGGACUACAGGCACACACCAUCAUACUCAGCUUAUUUCUUUUUUAAAAAAUGUUAGGUACAACUGACAAAUUUGAUUUUGUGAGCAAAUAAUGGGUCAUGGAAUACAAGUUGAAAAAAUACUACCCUAAAGUGCCUAAAUUCCAGAGGAAAAGUUCACAGUGAAGUAUAAAACAAGAAUAAAAAUAAGAAGGGAGGCCGAGCACGGUGGCUCACACCUAUAAUCCCAGCACUUUGGGAGGCAGAGGCGAGCGGAUCCGAGGCUAGGAGUUCGAGACCAGCCUGACCAACAUGGUGAAACUCUGUCUCUAUUAAAAAUACAAAAAAUUAGCUGGGUGUGGUGGUGCAUGCCUGUAAUCCCAGCUACUGGGGAGGCUGAGGCAGGAGAAUUGCUUGAACCUGGGAGGUGGAGAUCGCAGUGAGCUGAGAUUGUGCCACUGCACUCCAGCCUGGGCAACAAAAGCAAAACUCCAUCUCCAAAAAAUAAAAUUAAAUAAAUAAAUAAAUAAAUAAGAAGCAGAGAGAAAAAUUCUACUGUUAAAUUCCAAGUAAUGUUUAAAGAACACAGGAUUUGCAUUAGAAGUCUUCCUAAUUGUAUUGCAUCUUAACAGGCAAAGGGAAAAAGAGUUCUUUGGGUUGGGGGCCAAGAAAGUAUCCUAGAUAUCUGAAUUGGACCUUGAAUGAUAAGGAAAAACAAUGUCAUAUCCACUUCACAGAUGAAGAAACACAGGCAAAAGAGGACAAAUGCUCUGUUUGCUCAGUCAUUUAGUCUCCUGUAGAAUUAUCAUGUGAAUUGAAUCCUUACUGUGGUGCCCAGCCAACUUUGUCAGGCUCUUCUGUAACUAAAAGUAAUGAGUCUUGUCCACCCACCUGUGCACAUCAUAGGUACUGUCAGCCAUGUUUGGCUUAAGAGCAUCAUUGACCUCAAUGACCACUUCAGCUUGGGAAAGGCUGCAGCUGGGCUGGGACCCCAGCUGAUGAUGGGGAGACAGAGGAAAUGAAAAUUCCGGAGUGAGGUUUCAAAGACAUCUUCAUUUACAAUUUUGCAUUUAAAAUUUAAUUAAUUCAAAAGUUUUCCAUUUAAAGUUUUAAAUAUUUGAGACUUUAAUUAAAACAGAGAACAUAAGGCCAGACAUAGUGGCUUAUGCCUAUAAUCCCAGCACUUUGGGAAACCAAGGCAGGCGGAUCACUUGAGGUCAGGAGUUUGAGACCAGCUUGGCCAACAUGGUGAAACCCCGUCUCUACUAAAAAUACAAAAAUUAGCUGGGUGUGGUGGUGCAUGCCUGUAUUCCCAGCCACUCAGGAGGCUGAGGCAGGAGAACAGCUUGAUCCCAGGAGGUGGAGGUUAUAGUGAGCCGAGAUCACGCCACUGCACUAUAGCCUGGAGCCUGGGCAACAGAACGAGACUCCAUCUCAAAAACAAAAACAAAAAAACAGCAAACGUAGAGAUAUAUUUCUGACCAUUUCUCUUCAAAAAAGAUUAGUAUGAAGAAUUUCAAACAUACAUAAAUUAAAGAGAAUGGUAAAAUAAUCCCCCAUAUACCCAUCAACUAGAUUCAAAAAUUGGCAAGAUUUUGUCACACUUGAUUUAUUCCCUACAUUGUUCUUGCUGCCAAAGUAUUUUAAAGCAAAUCCCGGCCAUAAUUUCACUCCUAAUUACUUAGUAUGCAUCUCUAAAAAUAUUUUCUUUAUAUAACCAAAAUGUCACUAUUAUACUUAAAAAUUUAAUAAUCCCUUGGUAUCCUGUAAAACACAGCCAAUUCAAAUUUACCAGGCCACCUCAAAAAUUGUUUUAUUAGAGUUGAAUAGUUGAAAUCAGGAUCAAAAUAAGUUCUGCACCUACCCCCCUUGCUAACCCUUACCUUGUACCUAUCAUUUAUAUCCUAUCAUCUCCCACUUCAUUCCCCCCAAUUUCCCAGAAAUUCACUAUACUUAGGAAAUAUAAAUAUUUUAGUUUUUUCUUCCCAAGUCUGCAUGACCACAUUGAAAGCAGCAUAGCUUUUCUGCAACAGUGACAUCCAUCUUUGCAGCUAUCCACGGUAAGGAUAUCUUCUAUUGCAAACAGCAUGCUUAUGUUCUGAUUAGGUUAAAGUAAAAAUGAAAUGCAUAUGUGCUAAGUGAUUAUAAUCAUGCAAGAAAGUUCUUUGCAGAGAAACAGUGAGGAUGGAAUGGCUGAGGUUUGGUGGAGGAUGCUGGUAACCAGUGAUGUGAAUUCCUGGAGAAGUAGAAAUGAGCUAAGUUGAAGGUUAGCCUUGAACCAGAAGAAGAACAUCCUUUCCUCUGAGACUCAGGAAAUGUAAACAUAGGUGUAGGUAUUCUCUGUUGGUAGGAGUUGAGUUGUGGAGUUUUCUUUGUGAGGUACAUGAGACAAGGCCAUUUGCUAAGAGUGCUGGGUUAUAUAAGAGAAGAUAACCAAGCAAACAAAGAGGUAAUGAGUUCUGCUCUGCGUUAGGCAUUGUGCUAGGUUGCAUAUCUAUACCUACACUAUAUACACAAUAUGUAUUAUAUACAUUUUUCUAUGUAUAUGUGUGUAUGUGUGUAUAAAUAUAUAUAUAUUAAAUACAUAAUAUUAUAUAUAUAUAUAUAAAUUUCUAGGCCGGGCGCAGUGGCUCAGGCCUGUAAUCCUAGCACUUUGGGAGGCUGAGGAGGGUGGAUCACGAGGUCAGGAGAUCGAGACCAUCCUGGCUAACACAGUGAAACCCC